AGGUACAGACCAUCUACAAGCUGGUUUUAGAUGUUCUGACCAGCUAUACACCAGUUACCAGGUACAGACCAGCUACAAGCUUGUUUUAGAUGUUCUGACCAGCUAUACACCAGUUACCAGGUACAGACCAUCUACAAGCUGGUUUUAGAUGUUCGGACCAGCUAUACACCAGUUACCAGGUACAGACCAGCUACAAGCUGGUUUUAGAUGUUCUGACCAGCUAUACACCAGUUACCAGCUAGAAACCAGUUACCAGGUACAGACCAGCUACAAGCUGGUUUUAGAUGUUCUGACCAGCUAUACACCAGUUACCAGCUAGAAACCAGUUGCCAGGUACAGACCAGCUACAAGCUGGUUUUAGAUGUUCUGACCAGCUAUACACCAGUUACCAGCUAGAAACCAGUUACCAGGUACAGACCAGCUACAAGCUGGUUUUAGAUGU